CAGUCCAAAUGCAUAUGGAUGGG
rnacentral:snRNA from 1 species